rnacentral:lncRNA from 10 species
UUCUAUUCUGCUUCCCUUUACUCUAGCCCAGAGAGAUACCAAAAUGCGCAAGCCUCGGCCAUCAUCAAGGAACUGAGAAAAUGUGUCUUCAACCAUGAGGAGGAAAAUUCAAAGGAGUUCCGAACACAUACAAAUACAUGUAAAGGGACAGAGAUGAAAGGAAUGGAGCCAUCGGAGCGGGAGUACAGGGGGAGAGGGAGCAGCACCUAUGCCCAAGCCCCGACUGGGCAGCCUGGGCCAGCCCUCAGGAUGAGAGCAAGGUUCUCAAUGCCCUUCCUCACCUCCCUCCUCAAUGAUGUUCUUCAUCCUCACCAUCCCAUCACCUCCAGAGACUAGUGUGUUUGUGGCACCCUUCUUCCCAGUCAAGCCUGCUCUCAGAAAUCAUCCUUGGGAAGGUAAGAACAAUAGAUGGGGCAUAGUAUAUCUUUCAACAAUGCCUUGAGUAUUUGCAUUUUCACAGAGGAAGUAUUGAAGAUGGUACCUCAGUUCGAGGUUUUCAAAAAGGACUUAUAGGUAAAUAAAUCACACAGACAAUGGCACCUGCCUAAAGAUUAGUGUAAUAUAAGUGCUUUGUCCCUGGAACACAAGGCGAUAUUGUUAGCAAAAACUUUUAUUGAAAAAUAUCUCAUCAAUUAGAAAACAUGAUAAAGCCUUCCUCUGUCCACCCAUGUUCCCUCACUUCCAAUUCCAUGCCACAUGCAGGAAAUGGCUUGGGCAGUAUGCCCGCAGGCUAGGGUCAGCCGUGUGCUAGCAGCUGGACUCAGCACAUCUAACACGUCGGGUCCAGGUCAGAUUCUCCUGAAGUAAAACACAGCCAGGGUAAAGAGAGGAGACCACCUGGGAAGUGGGCGUAGCCACAGAGCUGGCACCACACUCCCCCUGCAUCCGUGGCCUGUGUGUCCCUCUGCGGUGCCAGGGAUGCUGAGGGGAGUCUGUGGAGCAAAUGUCCACAGUGUGACUGGGUGCCAUGCACCCUUUUGGGGGCUUCAU